AUUGAACGCUGGCGGCAUGCUUUACACAUGCAAGUCGAACGGCAGCGCGGGCUUCGGCCUGGCGGCGAGUGGCGAACGGGUGAGUAAUACAUCGGAACGUGCCCAGUAGUGGGGGAUAGCUCGGCGAAAGCCGGAUUAAUACCGCAUACGACCUGAGGGUGAAAGCGGGGGAUCUUCGGAUCUCGCGCUAUUGGAGCGGCCGAUGGCAGAUUAGCUAGUUGGUGGGGUAAAGGCCUACCAAGGCGACGAUCUGUAGCUGGUCUGAGAGGACGACCAGCCACACUGGGACUGAGACACGGCCCAGACUCCUACGGGAGGCAGCAGUGGGGAAUUUUGGACAAGGGGCGAAAGGCUGAUCCAGCAAUGCCGCGUGUGUGAUGAAGGCCUUCGGGUUGUAAAGCACUUUUGGCGGGAACGAAAAGGACUGUGCCAAUACCACGGUUCGAUGACGGUACCCGCAGAAUAAGCACCGGCUAACUACGUG
rnacentral:rRNA from 1 species